CAGAAGUCUGCAGAGAGCAGGGAGGAAACAGCUGGAAACUGGGACAUAGAGAGCUGUCCUGCAAGUAGAAGUCUCAGAAGUAAUAACACAUGCUAUUGGUCCUCAGCAUUGUAAUCCAUCCAUGAAGACCAGAUUUGAAAGUAAAUCUGACAACCAAGUCUCCCCAGACACAGCUCUCCAAGCCUGGGACACCAGACGCAUCAGGCUGAAUCACACUGCCUCCAGCCCUCUGAGCAUUUCCUGCUUCUGAGAGAGAGCAGCUACGUUCUGACAGUUUCAAUGGGAGGUGUCAGCCUAUUUCCAGAGCUUUCUAAAGACAUUCUGUCAUUUUGUGAAUGAUAUCAUUGUGUGGAACCUCUGAGAUAAUGAGACUAUGAACAUCAUCCCACAGUACCAUUUGGCUCAAAGACAGGGAAACAUAUGGGCAUUCCCUCUUCACAGAUUUUGCAGGGGAAUAUAGGGAAAAUCCUGCUGUCUGGAAAAGACAUUUCUUAGCCUCAUUUACAACAGCCUGGAUGCUCUUAACAGUGGGCAAGAUGGAAAUGGUUGGCAACAGACUGCACAUCAACAUGGAGUUUUGUUCCUCUUUAAGCUUUUUCAUAGAAGUUUGAAGGAGAUAUCUGCCCUGAUAUUAUCAUCUACGCAGAACUACUCUGAGUCUCAGCUUUUGUAUUUACACCUCAAGGGAAGAAAAGAUUUCAGAGAUGAUAAAAGUUGUUACAGGGUAGAGAGCUGCAACACAGAGCCAGCCCCUCCAGGGAGUGGGAACUGCCUUCUCAGUUACAAGAUCUUUUGUGUAUGUUUCCCUGUACAGCCCUCCCAGAACUCUUUGCAAUUAACUUGCCAGGGCUCAGUUAACAGAAUGAAGUAUCAUCCAGGUACUUACCACAGCCCUAAUCCUCAGCAGCGCAGAGGAAUAGGUAAGGAUGAUAAUUAACAGUCACAGCAAUUAAAGCAAUUUCAUGUUGUGAUUUUCAUUCUCAGCAGAAGGGAAAAAAAUCUCAUAGAUUUCUCCUGACUGACUGUCAAAAUAAUUAACAUGACUGAAAGACUCAUCCCAGAAACUUUCAGCACAAAGUCUGCCUCCUCUGUUUUCUGAAGACAAGCAUUGGGUGACACAUAGAAAUCUAAUUUGUGUUUUCUUCUGCUUCACUGCUUUGGCCUAUAUUGAGUUGAAAAUAUCAUAAGAUAAUGCCUGCUAAGCAAUAUUAUUUUGUUCUCCAAUAUGAUUACGUUCACAACUUGUACUGGAACUACAUGCUAAAAUACAGGCAAAAGCUUGAGAUUUGUGUUUUUUGCUUAGUGAUAUGUCAGAAGAAAGCCGAGAGAACUGAAAGAAAAACUGCCAAACUGAAAAAUGCUUUCCCCAAAGUUUUGGUCACUUGCUACAGUUCUUGGAGGAAGUCCCAGUAGAUUUCUGUUACUCAGAGUUAAAGAAAGUCAAGGCAUUGCACAGUGGAACUGGGAAAAGCAUCUUUAUGGGGAUUGAAAUUACAUGGCAAAUCAAAGAUAAGAUACAGAUAAUUACCAUUAUUACUGUUACUAGCAACAUCUACACUGCAUCUUUUGUCCAGAUCAUGAAAAAAAAAAAAAAAAAAAAAAGCCAACAAAUAAACUAACGUAUGUUCAUUCUGCA
ensembl:lncRNA